rnacentral:misc_RNA from 1 species
AACGCACAUUGCGCCCGCCAGUAUUCUGGCGGGCAUGCCUGUCCGAGCGUCAUUUCAACCCCUCAAGCCCAGCUUGGUGUUGGGGACCGACCCGCCCCCGGGCGCCGUCGGCCCUGAAAUGAAGUGGCGGUCCCGCCGUGGAACCUCUGCGUAGUAGCAACACCUCGCACUGGACAGCGGCGGCGGCCACGCCCAACCCCAUAUCUUUCAAGGUUGACCUCGGAUCAGGUAGGAAUACCCGCUGAACUUAA